rnacentral:rRNA from 1 species
CAAUAGCGUAUAUUAAAGUUGUUGCAGUUAAAAAGCUCGUAGUUGGAUUUCUGGUUGAAGCGACCGGUCGGGCGUUGAUUCGUCUGCACUGGAGUCGGUUUUGGCCAUCCUCUAGGAAAGUGCGUCUGGUAUUAAGUUAUCGGGCGUAUGAUCCUGGUCUUUUACUGUGAAAAAAUUAGAGUGUUUAAAGCAGGCCUUCGCCUUGAAUACAUUAGCAUGGAAUAAUAAGAUAGGACUUUGGUCUAUUUUGUUGGUUUGCAGACCGAAGUAAUGAUUAAUAGGGAUAGUUGGGGGUAUUUAUAUUCCGAUGUCAGAGGUGAAAUUCUUAGAUUUUCGGAAGAUUAACUUAUGCGAAAGCAUUUACCAAGGAUGUUUUCAUUA